rnacentral:rRNA from 1 species
UGGGGAAUAUUGGACAAUGGGCGCAAGCCUGAUCCAGCCAUGCCGCGUGUGUGAAGAAGGCCUUCGGGUUGUAAAGCACUUUCAGAAGGGAGGAGAGGUUGUGUGUUAAUAGCACAUAGCUGUGACGUUACCUUCAGAAGAAGCACCGGCUAACUCCGUGCCAGCAGCCGCGGUAAUACGGAGGGUGCAAGCGUUAAUCGGAAUUACUGGGCGUAAAGCGCGCGUAGGUUGUUUGUUAAGCGAGAUGUGAAAGCCCCGGGCUUAACCUGGGAACUGCAUUUCGAACUGGCAAGCUAGAGUACAGUAGAGGGUAGUGGAAUUUCCUGUGUAGCGGUGAAAUGCGUUAGAGAUGGGAAGGAACAUCAGUGGCGAAGGCGACUGCCUGGACUGAUACUGACACUGA